AGUGAACGCUGGCGGUAGGCCUAACGCAUGCAAGUCGAACGGCAGCACAGUAAGAGCUUGCUCUUACGGGUGGCGAGUGGCGGACGGGUGAGGAAUACAUCGGAAUCUACUUUUUCGUGGGGGAUAACGUAGGGAAACUUACGCUAAUACCGCAUACGACCUACGGGUGAAAGCAGGGGAUCUUCGGACCUUGCGCGAUUGAAUGAGCCGAUGUCGGAUUAGCUAGUUGGCGGGGUAAAGGCCCACCAAGGCGACGAUCCGUAGCUGGUCUGAGAGGAUGAUCAGCCACACGGGAACUGAGACACGGUCCAGACUCCUACGGGAGGCAGCAGUGGGGAAUAUUGGACAAUGGGCGCAAGCCUGAUCCAGCCAUACCGCGUGGGUGAAGAAGGCCUUCGGGUUGUAAAGCCCUUUUGUUGGGAAAGAAAAGCAGCAGGUUAAUACCCCGCUGUUCUGACGGUACCCAAAGAAUAAGCACCGGCUAACUUCGUG
rnacentral:rRNA from 1 species